rnacentral:lncRNA from 1 species
CCCGCGGGCCAGGAGGAAGGUUCAGAGCUUUCCGCCUGCCACUCGGGGCGAGCAUGUACCUGAGGAUGAAGACGGCGAAGAUGGCCGCCAAUGCCACGGCCAUGGACAUUAUUGUUGGUGUGAGCUCCUUGGGUGGAAAUGGAAGCUGGUGAGACUUGGAAACUGGUGUUCAAAAGGAGAAGGUCCUUCGUUGUUCAUAUAAAGAGAGAUGUUAUUUUGCUAAUUAGAUUAAUUAAUUUAUUAUUUGAGGCAUACAUUAGUCUGCACAUUGGUUAAUCUUGAAACAUACUGAUGCAGUGCGACAAAAAGUUUAAGUUUGGCUGAUUCUGAAGAAAAAUAUUAGCCCUGAACUGACAGUUACUGAAUUUUGAAUGGAACAGGCUGCUACGGUUCAAUGGAAGAGGCUGCUAUGGUUGAAUGGAACAGGCUGCUACAGUUACUGGCGUUUGAAUGGAUCAUCAGGCUGCUACGGGUGCUUCCCAGAAGCCAGUUUGGUUAGAGAACCUGCAACUUUGCCUGGUCUGACAAACUUGCCAUUCAUGUAAAUUGUUCAUAGUGUACUCUUGUACUGAAAGAAAAAGGAAAGCAACAUAUGAACUGAACAUGAUGUAUACUGAUACUUCCAAAAGUGAGAUGAAUGUGAAGUCUCACCAGCAACAAUCAUACUGCUGAGUUCGUCUUUUUGGGAUUUGACUGAUGAAAUGGUCUCUAAGGUUCAUACAGUCAAAUACAGCAUGGCCAUGGCAUUGCAGAUUUCAAGCAGAAACAAACAAGGCUAGAAGUAUAUGUGUGGUAUGCAUUGCACUACCAUGACCAUGAGACCAUCUGUACAAAGACUCUUCAAACCACUUUGUCACAUCCAUGCGAACAUUGCAAAGUUGCAUGUCGAGGUCAGAAAGGACUUUGUGUCCUUUGUGCUGACGCGAAUGCUUGGUUGAGAACUGAAGAGACGGCCCUACUGAAGUGAUAUUUCUGAAGCAACAGACAUCCUGGACCUGAAAAAAUGAUUUCAAGCUUUGUCGGGGGGAAAAAACUGAGAAGGACCACACGACUACACGAUGGUCAGGAGAAGGGAAGACCAUGAGCUUCUACAUCUUAAAGUGAGAUCGUAAUCGAGAAAGAAAGAAAUUUGUCCGUAGAUAUUGCUGGUGUGAGCUCCACUGGUGGAAAUGGGCACAGUUUAGGUUUGGCAGAUUGUGAAGAAAAAUGUCAGUCUUGCAUUGUCAGUGACUGGUCUUUGAAUGGAACGGACUACCCAAUUCAAGAACAAACAAAAUUGUACAAAGAUGAUGACAGUGAGUGAUGUGAUGAACCACAAGGUCAAACUGUGAAUGUUAAG